UAGGGAAUAUUAGAAAUGGACGAAAGUCUGAUCUAGCAACACCGCGUGUGCGAAGAAGGCCUUCGGGUCGUAAAGCACUUUUUGGAAGGAAUAGGAAGGAAUGUACUUCCAGAAUAAGUCUCGGCUAACUACGUGCCAGCAGCCGCGGUAACACGUAGGAGGCGAACGUUAUCCGGAUUUACUGGGCGUAAAGCGCGUGUAGGUGGUACUGUAAGUAGGGCGUGAAAGCUCCUGGCUCAACUGGGAGAGGCCGUUCUAAACUACAGAACUAGAGGAUGGUAGAGGGAGGUGGAAUUCCAGGUGUAGCGGUGGAAUGCGCAGAUAUCUGGAGGUACACCAGUGGCGAAAGCGGCCUCCUGGUCCGCAACUGACGCUCAGACGCGAAAGCUAGGGUAGCAAACGG
rnacentral:rRNA from 1 species